GCCAGCCCGCUCAGAAACUUAAAGGAAUUGACGGGGCCCGCACAAGCGGAGGAGCAUGUGGUUUAAUUCGAUGAUACGCGAGGAACCUUACCCGGGCUCGAACGUAAGAUGACUGUAGGUGAAAGCUUACAUCUCUUCGGAGCAUUUUACGAGGUGCUGCAUGGUUGUCGUCAGCUCGUGCCGUGAGGUGUCGGGUUAAGUCCCAUAACGAGCGCAACCCUACCUUUAGUUGCCAUCAGGUAAUGCUGGGGACUCUAAAGGAACUGCCUACGCAAGUAGUGAGGAAGGCGGGGAUGACGUCAAAUCAGCACGGCCCUUACGUCCAGGGCUACACACGUGCUACAAUGGCCGAUACAGAGGGCAGCUACCUGGUGACAGGAUGCAAAUCUCCAAAGUCGGUCUCAGUUCGGAUCGGAGUCUGCAACCCGACUCCGUGAAGUUGGAUUCGCUAGUAAUCGCGCAUCAGCCAUGGCGCGGUGAAUACGUUCCCGGGCCUU
rnacentral:rRNA from 1 species